UACGAAGGGGGCUAGCGUUGCUCGGAAUCACUGGGCGUAAAGCGCACGUAGGCGGAUUGUUAAGUCAGGGGUGAAAUCCUGGAGCUCAACUCCAGAACUGCCUUUGAUACUGGCGAUCUCGAGUCCGGGAGAGGUGAGUGGAACUGCGAGUGUAGAGGUGAAAUUCGUAGAUAUUCGCAAGAACACCAGUGGCGAAGGCGGCUCACUGGCCCGGUACUGACGCUGAGGCACGAAAGCGUGGGGAGCGAACAGG
rnacentral:rRNA from 1 species